GGCCUAACACAUGCAAGUCGAGCGGCAGCGGGAAAGUAGCUUGCUACUUUUGCCGGCGAGCGGCGGACGGGUGAGUAAUGCCUGGGGAUCUGCCCAGUCGAGGGGGAUAACAGUUGGAAACGACUGCUAAUACCGCAUACGCCCUACGGGGGAAAGGAGGGGACCUUCGGGCCUUUCGCGAUUGGAUGAACCCAGGUGGGAUUAGCUAGUUGGUGGGGUAAUGGCUCACCAAGGCGACGAUCCCUAGCUGGUCUGAGAGGAUGAUCAGCCACACUGGAACUGAGACACGGUCCAGACUCCUACGGGAGGCAGCAGUGGGGAAUAUUGCACAAUGGGGGAAACCCUGAUGCAGCCAUGCCGCGUGUGUGAAGAAGGCCUUCGGGUUGUAAAGCACUUUCAGCGAGGAGGAAAGGUUGAUGCCUAAUACGCAUCAGCUGUGACGUUACUCGC
rnacentral:rRNA from 1 species